GGUGUGAAUCGGGCACUUUACCCAUUAGCAUUAAAUGUAAUCAACUUAUGUAUAAAUACUAUGUGCGUCUCAGUGAUAUUGGUGAACGGUCUGGUGGUCCGCAUGAAAUUCUCAAGGCUGCUUUUGAAGUGGACAAAACUCUCACAAAUAGAGAAAAUUCAUGGUCUAAUAAACUAUCUGAAUUAAUGAAAUAUAUUGGAAUACCCUUAAACAAGCAUUGUAAUAGUAAUUUCAAACAGAAACUAGAAGAUUUCUACAAAAAUAAAAUUAUAUUUGAACUAUCUAAGAUAAAAGAUGGAAACUGUGGUAAACUUUUAUUUUUUAGUAAAAUUUAUACUAAAUUUAAACAAGAAUAUUUAAACUUUAAUAUUCCUAAAUACCUUAGAAAAAAACUCACUAAAUUAAGAAUAAGUGCACACUCAUUAGCAAUAGAAACUGGUAGGUAUGCAAGACCAAAAAUACCCUCUAAUGAGAGAUUUUGUAAAUUUUGCACAGGAAAAAUUGAAAAUGAGAUACAUUUCUUGAUUGAAUGUCCGCAAUAUA
rnacentral:lncRNA from 1 species